GAGCGUAAUGCUUUCAGUAGCGAAGCUAACGCGUUAAGUUCUCCGCCUGGGGAGUACGACCGCAAGGUUGAAACUCAAAGGAAUUGACGGGGGCCCGCACAAGCGGUGGAGCAUGUGGUUUAAUUCGAUGCAACGCGAAGAACCUUACCAUCCCUUGACAUCCUCAGAAUUUGUCGUAAUGAUUUAGUGCCUUCGGGAACUGAGUGACAGGUGCUGCACGGCUGUCGUCAGCUCGUGUCGUGAGAUGUUGGGUUAAGUCCCGCAACGAGCGCAACCCCUAUCUUUAGUUGCCAGCACGUAAUGGUGGGAACUCUAGAGAGACUGCCGGUGAUAAGCCGGAGGAAGGUGGGGACGACGUCAAGUCAUCAUGGCCCUUACGGGAUGGGCUACACACGUGCUACAAUGGUACAUACAGAGGGCUGCUAACCUGCGAAGGGGUGCCAAUCUCAGAAAAUGCAUCUUAGUCCGGAUCGCAGUCUGCAACUCGACUGCGUGAAGUUGGAAUCGCUAGUAAUCGCGAAUCAGCAACGUCGCGGUGAAUACGUUCCCGGGCCUUGUACACACCGCCCGUCACACCAUGGGAGUGGGUUGCACCAGAAGUAGCUAGACUAACUGUUUACAGAGGUCGGUUACCACGGUGUGGUUCAUGACUGGGGUGAAGUCGUAACAAGGUAGCCG
rnacentral:rRNA from 1 species